rnacentral:rRNA from 1 species
GCAAGUGAACGAACUCUGGUAUUGAUUGGUGCUCUGCAUCAUGAUUUACAUCUGAGUGAGUGGCGAACUGGUGAGUAACACGUGGGAAACCUGCCCAGAAGCGGGGGAUAACACCUGGAAACAGAUGCUAAUACCGCAUAACAACUUGGACCGCAUGGUCCGAGCUUGAAAGAUGGCUUCGGCUAUCACUUUUGGAUGGUCCCGCGGCGUAUUAGCUAGAUGGUGGGGUAACGGCUCACCAUGGCAAUGAUACGUAGCCGACCUGAGAGGGUAAUCGGCCACAUUGGGACUGAGACACGGCCCAAACUCCUACGGGAGGCAGCAGUAGGGAAUCUUCCACAAUGGACGAAAGUCUGAUGGAGCAACGCCGCGUGAGUGAAGAAGGGUUUCGGCUCGUAAAACUCUGUUGUUAAAGAAGAACAUAUCUGAGAGUAACUGUUCAGGUAUUGACGGUAUUUAACCAGAAAGCCACGGCUAACUACGUGCCAGCAGCCGCGGUAAUACGUAGGUGGCAAGCGUUGUCCGGAUUUAUUGGGCGUAAAGCGAGCGCAGGCGGUUUUUUAAGUCUGAUGUGAAAGCCUUCGGCUCAACCGAAGAAGUGCAUCGGAAACUGGGAAACUUGAGUGCAGAAGAGGACAGUGGAACUCCAUGUGUAGCGGUGAAAUGCGUAGAUAUAUGGAAGAACACCAGUGGCGAAGGCGGCUGUCUGGUCUGUAACUGACGCUGAGGCUCGAAAGUAUGGGUAGCAAACAGGAUUAGAUACCCUGGUAGUCCAUACCGUAAACGAUGAAUGCUAAGUGUUGGAGGGUUUCCGCCCUUCAGUGCUGCAGCUAACGCAUUAAGCAUUCCGCCUGGGGAGUACGGCCGCAAGGCUGAAACUCAAAGGAAUUGACGGGGGCCCGCACAAGCGGUGGAGCAUGUGGUUUAAUUCGAAGCUACGCGAAGAACCUUACCAGGUCUUGAACUAUGCAAAUCUAAGAGAUUAACGUUCCCUUCGGGGAUGGAGGGGUGCAGGGUUGCC